rnacentral:rRNA from 1 species
GACUGUUUACCAAAAACAUAGCUUUAAAAAAAUUUUAUAGUGGGACCUGGUCAGUGGAAAAUUUUAAAUUUUCUAAACACACGCCUUAGCGUGAGGGUGAUAAUGUAGCAUAAUAAUUUGGCAUUUAAUUGAUGUCUGGGAGGAAUGGUGAAACGACUUUAAUUUUGUCUCAACUUUUUAAAAAAUGAAAUUAAUGAAACUAUGAAAAUACAGUUUAAAUAUUGUUAGACGAAAAGACCCCAUAAACCUUUACUAUAAACAUAUUCAAAUAUUUUGGUAGUUUAGCUGGGGCGGCUAUCUCUUACAUUUUAACAGAGACUUUUAUAUAUAAUAAAAAUUUUUAUUCUCAAACUAUAUUACUAAAAAUUAUACAGAACUUCCACAAAGUAAACUAAUGACCAAUUAAUCUUUUAUAAAAAGAAAAUUAUUAAAUAAUAAGAGGUACUUUGGGGAUAACAGCGUUAUCUAAAGACAAAGCUUGACAUUUAUCUUAAAGUUUGCGACCUCGAUGUUGAAUUAAGAUGACCAUCUGGUGCAGCCGCUAGAAAAAUGGUUGGACUGUUCGUCCAUUAAAAUCUUACAUGAUUUGAGUUCAUUCC